AUUGAACGCUGGCGGCAUGCUUUACACAUGCAAGUCGAACGGCAGCGCGGGGCAACCUGGCGGCGAGUGGCGAACGGGUGAGUAAUAUAUCGGAACGUACCCAGAAGUGGGGGAUAACGUAGCGAAAGUUACGCUAAUACCGCAUACGAUCUACGGAUGAAAGUAGGGGACCGCAAGGCCUUAUGCUUUUGGAGCGGCCGAUAUCUGAUUAGCUAGUUGGUGAGGUAAAGGCUCACCAAGGCGACGAUCAGUAGCUGGUCUGAGAGGACGACCAGCCACACUGGAACUGAGGCACGGUCCAGACUCCUACGGGAGGCAGCAGUGGGGAAUUUUGGACAAUGGGCGCAAGCCUGAUCCAGCAAUGCCGCGUGAGUGAAGAAGGCCUUCGGGUUGUAAAGCUCUUUUGUCAGGGAAGAAACGGUAGAGGCUAAUAUCCUUUGCUAAUGACGGUACCUGAAGAAUAAGCACCGGCUAACUACGUG
rnacentral:rRNA from 1 species